UACGUAGGUGGCGAGCGUUGUCCGGAUUUAUUGGGCGUAAAGCGCGCGCAGGCGGUUGUCUAAGUCUGCUGUGAAAUCUCCCGGCUCAACUGGGAGGGGGCGGCGGAGGCUGGGCGACUGGAGGGACCUAGAGGCCGGUGGAAUUCCCGGUGUAGUGGUGAAAUGCGUAGAGAUCGGGAGGAACACCAGUGGCGAAGGCGGUUUCCUGGAGCCCACUUGACGCUGAGACGCGAAAGCUGGGGGAGCAAACGGG
rnacentral:rRNA from 1 species